UGUAAGCGUAUACCAAAGUUGUUGCAGUUAAAACGCUCGUAGUCGGAAUUUGGCAGUUCCGGAUGUGUGCACGUCGUGUGCGCACUUCGCGGGGAUUGCUUUUGUGGUCUUGCGUAGGAUGAGGCACUUUUAUUAGUGAACGUCCUCACGCAACCACUUUUUACUGUGAGAAAAUCAGAGUGCUCAAAGCAGGCAUUUGCCGUGAAUGUAUUAGCAUGGAAUAAUAGAAUAGGACUUGGUUCUAUUUUGUUGGUUUGUUGGGACUGAGUAAUGAUUAAGAGGGACAGUUGGGGGCAUUUGUAUUUCGGCGCUAGAGGUGAAAUUCUUAGAUUGCCGGAAGACAAACUGCUGCGAAAGCGUCUGCCAAGGAUGUUUUCAUUGA
rnacentral:rRNA from 1 species